GUCAAUGGCCAUGCCACCCUGAACAAGCUCGAUCCUGUCAAAUCUUGGAAGCUAAGCUGGGUUGGGCCUGGUUAGUACUUGGAUGGGAUUCCACCUAGGAAGACCAGGUGCUGUAGGUG
rnacentral:rRNA from 1 species